CUUAAAAGUGACUGCAUAGAACUAAAUAGACUGCUAAAAAUGAUAAUAAAAAAUUGAGAUAACCUUGCCCCUUUGUUAUUCACAACAUCACACUGAGCUGCAUCUCAGUUCUUUUACUCCAGCUAAAUAUUGGUGUCUUCAAUGGGGUGUCCCUGUGGAUUUAAAUGUUACUGACAUGUGUAAGCACAGACUUAUCUCGUUCUUAUCAACAGAAAAUUUUCAGAGAGCUGCCAAUGCGUCAAAACUCUUUCUGAGUCCCCAAAGUUUAUUGCAAUUCCUUAUGACUGUUUAUGUAAAUUCCCACAAACUCACGUGCACUGAAAACCCAACAGAAAUCUUCUGAUACUACUGCAUUCCUCCUCUUGUCAAAACCUUUGACAGCAAGUCAGAUUCUGCCUUUUGAAAGGAACAGCUAUUUUUAUUCCUGUUGCAAAAGGUUUUCCAAACUCCACAUGCAUUGUUAUGUCCCUCAAAUGCAUUACAUCACACGACUCUUCUGAAAGGUGUCCAAACCCUGCAUUAAAACACUUGUGGGAAAAGUUGAAAAAAUAAAUGGUUUAUGUUAAAUGGUAUUUUGAAAGGGGAAUGAAAUGUAUUGCACUGAUAUGGAAAGGUAGUGUAGUAAUGAAUGCUUUGGGUUUGAAUUAAGUGUUAUGCUCUCUCUCAUUAAACUCCUUUCUGAAGUUAUGCAGACUUAGGUGUAUCUUCCCCCUCUUUCCUCCUUUUCCACUGGGUAUAAGAGAAGAGUGGUGAAGUCUGAACUCUCUGAACAUCAUGCCAUGAGAAACAUAACCAAAGCAGGUUUUGACAAGUUUUUGGCAGAAUUCAGGCACCUCGUUGCUCAGGCUGGGAAAUUCUGACAAAGCUGGCUUGUUGAGAAGAGCUGUUUUCCUCUGAAGGUACCUAUGUCCCAGCAGAUGGCUGGAUGGCCAGCACAGAAUCUUUAGCUUGGUGCUGCACUGUGCUGCAUGGAUUGGAUCCUCCUUUAAACUCCACUGGUGCUGUUCACAAAAAGAUCAGGCUGAGGAUGAGGACACCUGCAUUGCAGUCUCAGCAGCCUCCUCCCCUUCCUGGGACAUGAUGAUCUGGUUGUCCUCAAGAGAAUGACAAAGAGACUGAAUUUUAUAAAACAUCAGAAUAAGGUUGCAAAGGCCCAGAUAAACAAAUUUUCAUACCAUGUGGUUGUGCCUGUCAGCAGUGAGUGAUACAUCAAAUACAAUGGAAGUUAUGUGAAAAUGCUGGAGAUUUCAGCUUUCCUACAUCAUUCAGAGCCAAUUACCACAGCAGAAAUUUGGUCAUAUUGGAAAAGACUGAGCACUGUUUGGAGAAACUGAAAGGAUUUACUUAGUUUUUGUUCUAUUUCUAUAUUUAAGAUCAUUUGCCAUUCCAGAGCUGUUUCCCACCAUAGCAACUGAGAGCCCAUGUGGCACAUGGGAAGGUCAAAAAAUGGACAUUUCAAAGAAACCAGAAAACAUUUUCCUUUUAUUUUAUCUUGUAAAUGCAUUUGCAGUUUGCUAAAACAACAAAGCAAGACAUUUCAUAUAUUCUGUUCCUUAACUGAAUGAUAGACCAGAGCCUCAGCUGGUGUGAUCUUGUAUCCUUCCCUUGCAAUCAAUGUAGUGCCAUGGGAAAUUCACUUCCAAACCUCAUUUUUCAUGGUGAGCACAGAAACUUUUCAUGCAGUUCCUCUCAAGGCUUCUACCACUGCUGCUGCCAUCCAUCACUAGAGCUCCUUCUGCCCAGGAGCUUUUGAGAGCCCUGCCAGGGAUUUUGGUAUGAGUGGCAACAGCUUUGCUGCCCAUGUAUCACCAAAAAAUUUCUGCCAUGCCAGGGUCAGACCAGUCUUGGAUUUGACAACCCACUUGACAGGCAUGCAGAUGAUAUUUUUUUUCCACUGGCUUAUAGUGGCUUCAUGAUAACCCAGCUGAGACAAGUAUAUUUCUAUUUUUGAAGAGAUUUAACUCACUUUUAAAGGGAGUUAACAUGGUUACCUGGGACAGCAUUUUGCAAAUUUUUCAAUUAUUAUCUUGUUCAUGAAUGUACACAUUUCCUUUAAGAGGAUAUGUGCCUAAACCACAGUGCAUGGACAUGAGUCAAUAAAGGAAGCAAUUCUUGUAAGCUUGAGUGCAUCUACAAGUUUCUUAAGAACAGACCAUGGCAGCAGAUUUGCAUGGCACAAGUUACUGUCAUCUGAAAACAUGAGCUGCUAUAAAAUGCUGCUCUGUCAUGCUGGAUCAGUGAGGACAGUGGUAAACAAAGCCUAAAUGAACUGUGUCAGGACUUGAAUUUAUAGAUUCAUAGAAUUAUUUAGGUUGGCAAAGAUCUCCAAGGUCAUUGAGUCCAACCAUUAACCCAGAACUACCAGAUACCCAAUCCCAAAUCAUGUCCCUAGGCUCCACAUCUACAUGUUUUGUGAACAAUUCCAGGCAUGGUGAUUCUACCACAUCCCUGAGCAUCCUCUUCCAUCUUCUUCUUCUUUCAGUGAAGAAAUUUUUUUCUACUGCCCAAUAUAAACCUUCAAACAUCUAUACAAAUAUUGCCCAGUUUGCAAUUUUCAGUGAAAAUAAAAA